CGUCGUACUCCGUAGAGCGAACUGAUUUUUCUUCUUUUUUCCUUGGGUCCCUAAAGCUAUUUUAUUUUUUUUUUUAUUUUUUUCUUCACUUUCUACUAAUUUAUUCUACUCUCAAAGCUUAUUCCUGAACCUCCUAUUUAUAGAUAAAUUUUUCAUAAUUUUUUGGUAGGAAAAAGAGUCCUAAAACCCUUAGAAAUUAUUUUAAUCUCUUAGGAAUAUUUUUAGCCAUC
rnacentral:lncRNA from 1 species